GCCCUGGUAGCUCAAUUGGUUAGAGCGUCGGACUUUUAUAGGUUUUCCAUCUGUAACGGUCAUCCGAAGGCUGCGGGUUCGACCCCCGCCUGGGGCG